rnacentral:tRNA from 1 species
GGGUCGGUGGUGUAAUGGUAGCAUUAUAGUCUCCAAAACUAACGAUGCAGGUUCAACUCCUGCCCGACCUG